UCAUUAGCUUUUUAAUUGAAGGCUUGUAUGAAGGGUCUGACAAAGAAAAAGCUGUCUUUAAUUUUAUUUUUGAAUUUAACUUUUAAGUGAAAAGGCUUAAAUAAGUUUAAGGGACGAUAAGACCCUAUAAAUCUUUAUAUUAUAUUAUUAUCUUGAGUAAUAAUAAUUUGUCUAGAUUAACAAGUAAAAUAAUAAAUAUUUUGUUGGGGUGACAAGAAUAUAAAAAAACUGUUCUUAAAUAAAACAAAGUUGUUUGUUUAAAAAUUUAUAGAUCCUUUUUAAAGAUUAAGAGAUUAAGUUACUUUAGGGAUAACAGCGUUAUUUUUUUUGAGAGUUCUUAUCGAAAAAAAAGUUUGCGACCUCGAUGUUGAAUUAAAAUUUCUCUACGGUGAAGAAGUUGUAGAAGAAAGUCUGUUCGACUUUUGAAAUUUU
rnacentral:rRNA from 1 species